CUAACGAGUGGUGGGAGGUGUCGCCAUAUUGCUACGUCAUCCAGCGUGCCCACAGCUUGCAGACAGUUUGUUAACUGUAGUGAAACUGAGUGAUUUUGUUGAAAAUUUGUUGUUCUACCGGUGUUUAUAGUAGUAUUUUAUGAUGCCUGGAGGAAGUAUUUGUAGCGUUGCUAUUUGCAAGAACAAUUCCAAGAAGGCGAAAGAAAGUGGACAAAGUCAGAUGUUUUUUAACUUCCCUAAAGAUCCCCAGAUUAGGAAGGAAUGGGUUAGGAAGUGCCAUCGGAAAGACAAAUUUGACCCACAAAAUAAAAGAGUUUGCAGCGAUCAUUUUACACCCGAUGAUUAUGAAGAUUUGUUGCAAGCUAGAUUAUUAAAAAUUAGGCCAAAAAAAUUGAAAAAAAACGCUGUUCCUUCUCUACACUUACUGCCC